AAUGAACGCUGGCGGCAUGCCUAACACAUGCAAGUCGAACGAGACCUCCGGGUCCUGUGGCGUAUGGGUGUGUCACGCGUGGGAACAUGAACUCGGGUUUGGAAUACCUCUAAGAAUGGGGUGACAACACCGGACAAUGUCUUCGGCCCAAAGAUUUAUCGAACUUGGAUGGGCAAGCGUUGGAUUAGCUCGUUGGUAGGGUAAUAGACUAAUACGGGGUGGAUCAAUAGCUGGUUUGUGAGAAAGGUCAGCCACACUGAGAGUGAGACGCGGCCCAGACUCCUACGGGAGGCAGCAAUGGGUGAUAUUGGACAGUGGGCGGAGGGCUGAUGCAGCUAUGCCGGGUGAGUGAUGAAGGCCGGAGGGUUGAAAAGCUCUUUUACCCGGGAUGAUAAUGACGGUACCGAGAGAGUAAGCUCCGGCUAACUCCGUG
rnacentral:rRNA from 1 species